GAUGAACGCUGGCGGCGUGCCUAAUACAUGCAAGUCGAGCGAACGGACGAGGAGCUUGCUUUUCUGAUGUUAGCGGCGGACGGGUGAGUAACACGUGGAUAACCUACCUAUAAGACUGGGAUAACUUCGGGAAACCGGAGCUAAUACCGGAUAAUAUUUUGAACCGCAUGGUUCAAAAGUGAAAGACGGUCUUGCUGUCACUUAUAGAUGGAUCCGCGCUGCAUUAGCUAGUUGGUAAGGUAACGUCUUACCAAGGCAACGAUGCAUAGCCGACCUGAGAGGGUGAUCGGCCACACUGGAACUGAGACACGGUCCAGACUCCUACGGGAGGCAGCAGUAGGGAAUCUUCCGCAAUGGGCGAAAGCCUGACGGAGCAACGCCGCGUGAGUGAUGAAGGUCUUCGGAUCGUAAAACUCUGUUAUUAGGGAAGAACAUAUGUGUAAGUAACUGUGCACAUCUUGACGGUACCUAAUCAGAAAGCCACGGCUAACUACGUG
rnacentral:rRNA from 1 species